GUACUUCAGCAGUACAUAAACUAAAAUUGGAACGAUACAGAAAAGAUUAAAAUUCUUCUGCAUGAGGAUGAUCUGAAAAUUUGUGAAGCAUUCCAUAUUAAA
ensembl:snRNA U6 U6 spliceosomal RNA